AGCUUUUUCUUAUUAAAAUAUUUUAUGAUGGAGUAGAUAGAGAGGUUGUUGAAGUAUUAAUGGGUUUUAUUGUUACUUUGUAAAAAUUUUAUUAAUGAUAGUGAAUUAGGUAUUGUGAUAGAAUGAAAAUGAUGACUGUGUAUAAGAAGAAUUCAGUUUUUGUACCUUGUGUCUCAGGGCUUAUCUAUUAAGAGUUAAGUAUUUAUAUUUCUCGAAUUUAAAAGAGUUAUGGGCCUGUAGAUUUUAAUGUAGCAUAAUUACUUGAAAUGGUCCCAUGGAGGUGAGAUGCCAGUCGAUUUUAAAUAUAUCUAGUUUCCUAAGAAAGUAAUUUAAUUGUGGUUUUAACUAUUAUGAAAUUAAUUUUGUAAUUUUAUGGUAUUAGAGGCUAAUGGCCUGAGGGAUGAGCUUUAGGUUUAAUUUAUACAAUAUUAUUUAUUGGUAGUAGGGAGUAGGAUUGUGAGAUUCUAUCUUUUAGUGGGUUAUACCUAUAUUCUUAUUAAGUCGUACUAUUUUUAUUUUUUUUAUGUGUUUUAUUAGGAUACCCGCUUGAAUUGAAGUUUGUUGCACAACAAUGAUAGGAUUAGUAUAGGAUUUUUGUUUAUUUUGUGUAUGAGAGAUUAAGAUAAGGAACUCGGCAAUUGAAUUUUUCACCUGUUUAUUAAAAACAUGGCCUUUUGCUUAGGAUGGAAGGUCUGGCCUGCCCACUGGUUUCUAAAGGGCCGCGGUAUUUUGACCGUGCAAAGGUAGCAUAAUCAUUAGUUCUUUGAUUGGGAGCUGGAAUGAAUGGUCGGAUGAGGGAAUUACUGUCUCAUUUUAAAUUGUUGGAAUUUUAUUAUUAAGUGAAAAGGCUUAAAUUGUUGUAGAAGACGAGAAGACCCUAUAGAGUUUUAUAGCUUGCCUAAGUGUGGUCAUUGGGGUAUGUAUAACUAAUUUUAGUACGGCUAUUUGGUUGGGGUGAUAGGGAAAUUAAACGAACUUUUCUUUUGGUUGAUAUUGGUUUGUAGAUUGAUGAUCCUCGCUUUGAGAUUAGAAGAAUAAACUACCUUAGGGAUAACAGCGUAAUCUUUUCUGAGAGUUCUAAUCGAAGAAAAGGCUUGCGACCUCGAUGUUGGAUUAAAGCUUAUCCCGGGUGCAGCUGCUCGGGGAUUUUGGUCUGUUCGACCUUUAGAGUUUUACAUGAUCUGAGUUUAAACCGGUGUGAGCCAGGUUGGUUUCUAUCUCUAUAUAAUAUUAAUAUUUUAGUACGAAAGGACCAAGUAUUAGACUAAUAGUUUAGGGGUUGAGUGUAAGU
rnacentral:rRNA from 1 species